rnacentral:misc_RNA from 1 species
AAGUCGUAACAAGGUUUCCGUAGGUGAACCUGCGGAAGGAUCAUUACAAAUAAAGCUGGUAGGAAGUGGGGUCUUGAUCUGUAAGUGGUAGAGCGAACAGUCCGGCUGCCUCCCUGAAUUCGUCAUUACAUGUCCCCCAUCCAGCCUGAAUGGCCAGGCAAUUGAUCAACCCACUUGAUUAUCUACACUUGUUGCUUUGGGGGUGCUCAAGUGCCCCCAGAGGACCCAACUCUCUUGCAUUUAGUGACGUCUGAGUACUAUAUAAUAUUUUAAAAUCU